rnacentral:snoRNA from 1 species
UGGCUAGUGAUGUCUUUCUUCUGCGAUACUUACUACAACCUGAUCUUAUUUGAAAGAUUCGCGUCCCGUGUGAACUUUAUUCAAUUCUGAAGCUG